AAUAAAUAGAAUCACCAUGGCAAAUCCGGAACAACUAAGAGAGGCUUUUAAAGGCAAGAUUGCCUUCUCCAGAAGCUCAUUCUUCAAGUCCCCUCCCCAUGCAAGCAAAGAAAGGCAUGCGCUGUGAAAGUUGCAUGGGUGAGAUACUACUUCAUUCAAAUUCUUCAUCUUAAAACUGCACAGCAAAGAAGAUGUCUUUCCCUGCCUAGAAUUUAAAAAAUGUGUUUUAAAAAUAUAUUUCCUGUGUACAUUUAGUCACUGCAUUAUUGAUCACACCUAGCACAUAGUAGGUAGGUAAAGGGUUGUUGGAUGACAUAUAUAACGUAUGGAACACCCUAUGCGUUGCUAAUUCCUGCUACCAUCUCAGAAAAGAGCUUGAAUUUUUUGUCAGUUUCAAGCAACGAAAGCCCCUUGUCACGCAGCUCUUGUGUUUAAGGUCUCCACAAAUAGGAAAUACCUUCUUGUUUAUUUCUUGACCUGUGUGUGACUGUUGUAUCUGAAGUUUAGCUCCAGAAAUAAAAGAAAAAAAAAUCCACAAACAAUUUUUUUAAAGACUCUCCCUCAAUGCUGUUUGCUGCCACCCUUUUUUUUUUUCCCUUGGCUUCCUUCUUUCAGCAUGACAUCCUCUCAAACGCUACCUGACAGACUGCUGCAAUCACCCUGUGAAUGCUUGUCGUGACAAACUGAGAUGAGGUUUGUCAAGUGUUCAGCACAGAAAAUGCUCAACAUCUCCCUCUGGAUGUCCAGCAGUUACUUCAAAUGCAUCCCCCAAGGCAGUUCAUCUUCCAUGUAACUAUAAUAAUCACAGUAAAAAGCUACUGG
rnacentral:lncRNA from 1 species